rnacentral:rRNA from 1 species
AGAGUUUGAUCAUGGCUCAGGAUGAACGCUAGCGGCAGGCUUAACACAUGCAAGUCGAGGGGUAUUGGUUUUCGGACCAAGAGACCGGCGCACGGGUGCGUAACGCGUAUGCAACCUACCUUUUACAGGGGGAUAGCCCAGAGAAAUUUGGAUUAAUACCCCAUAGUAUAUAGUCUUUGCAUGAGGGCUAUAUUAAAGUCACAACGGUAAAAGAUGGGCAUGCGUCCCAUUAGCUAGAUGGUAAGGUAACGGCUUACCAUGGCUACGAUGGGUAGGGGUCCUGAGAGGGAGAUCCCCCACACUGGUACUGAGACACGGACCAGACUCCUACGGGAGGCAGCAGUGAGGAAUAUUGGUCAAUGGGCGCAAGCCUGAACCAGCCAUGCCGCGUGCAGGAUGACGGUCCUAUGGAUUGUAAACUGCUUUUGUACGAGAAGAACAACAUUACGUGUAAUGUCUUGACGGUAUCGUAAGAAUAAGGAUCGGCUAACUCCGUGCCAGCAGCCGCGGU